AACCCCGACGACGACGAGAGCAGCGCAGGGCGAUCGGCACGGCGAACGACCAAGCGACCGGGACAUGGAGGGCAGCUCGCCGGAGGGUCGAGGUCGGCUGGGGGGCAGGGCUGGCCGCCGCCAUGGCCACGGCUAGCGGCUGCAGCCAGCCGGCUGCCGUGCGCACAGGCCCGGACCUGCCUUGCCGCGUCCGCGGGAGCGGUUGGUGGCUGUGCAAGGGUGAGAGAG
rnacentral:lncRNA from 7 species